rnacentral:rRNA from 1 species
CCUACGGGUGGCUGCAGUGGGGAAUAUUGGACAAUGGGCGAAAGCCUGAUCCAGCCAUGCCGCGUGUGUGAAGAAGGCCUUCGGGUUGUAAAGCACUUUCAGUGGGGAAGAAAGCCUUGGGGCUAAUACCCUCGAGGAAGGACAUCACCCACAGAAGAAGCACCGGCUAACUCCGUGCCAGCAGCCGCGGUAAUACGGAGGGUGCGAGCGUUAAUCGGAAUUACUGGGCGUAAAGCGCGCGUAGGCGGUCUGAUAAGCCGGUUGUGAAAGCCCCGGGCUCAACCUGGGAACGGCAUCCGGAACUGUCAGGCUAGAGUGCAGGAGAGGAAGGUAGAAUUCCCAGUGUAGCGGUGAAAUGCGUAGAGAUCGGGAGGAAUACCAGUGGCGAAGGCGGCCUUCUGGACUGACACUGACGCUGAGGUGCGAAAGCGUGGGUAGCAAACAGGAUUAGAUACCCGAGUAGUC